GACGAACGCUGGCGGCGUGCUUAACACAUGCAAGUCGAACGGAAAGGCCCUGCUUUUGUGGGGUGCUCGAGUGGCGAACGGGUGAGUAACACGUGAGUAACCUGCCCUUGACUUUGGGAUAACUUCAGGAGACUGGGGCUAAUACCGGAUAGGAGCUCCUGCUGCAUGGUGGGGGUUGGAAAGUUUCGGCGGUUGGGGAUGGACUCGCGGCUUAUCAGCUUGUUGGUGGGGUAGUGGCUUACCAAGGGUUUGACGGGUAGCCGGCCUGAGAGGGUGACCGGCCACAUUGGGACUGAGAUACGGCCCAGAAGCCUACGGGAGGCAGCAGUGGGGAAUAUUGCACAAUGGGCGGAAGCCUGAUGCAGCAACGCCGCGUGCGGGAUGACGGCCUUCGGGUUGUAAACCGCUUUCGCCUGUGACGAAGCGUGAGUGACGGUAAUGGGUAAAGAAGCACCGGCUAACUACGUG
rnacentral:rRNA from 1 species